rnacentral:tRNA from 1 species
GCGGACGUAGCUCAACAGGAAGAGCAGCGGUCUCCAAAACCGCCGGUUGCAGGUUCGAGUCCUGCCGUCCGUGCCA